AACAAAAAUAGAGCAUUAGAGUUGAUUUGAGUUUCCAAUCAAUCUCAAAAUUUGGAUUGGAAUGGUGACUCAACCGUUACCUCUAGUUGCUUUGACUGAAAUUAAACGAAGUGAUUUAUUGUUGUUUUAAUGUCAUAUCAUCGAAUUCAUAGAUGGUGAAUCGAGAGCUCUAUAUAUGCAGUAGUCAGAGGGGGAAAGGGUCGAGAGUUGACAGAAAUGGAAGAAUCUAUCCAGAUCCGGUGACCCAUCUAGUUCAUCCUCCAUCCCUUUCUCUUCUACGUAUGCGACACGUAAACUGGGGAAGAUUUCGCUGCGAUUUCUGUUUUAUGAAGGCAAACAUGGAGGAAGGAGACGAUGGGGAGUAGGCGUUCGUAAAUUUUUCUGGAGAUUUGAGUAUCGACAGCCAUGAGUUUAUCGAGCUCAAGUUUCUUCACGGUGAGCGAACGGAUCUGUGCGGCAUUUAUACCAAUCAUUGCGGUUGUAGAGGCCUUGAUUUUGACGAUGAGCAGGUGCUUUGAUUGUUGCCAUGAGAGUGAGAAAGGUCGCCGCUGCCUUAGUGAACUUUCUCGGCUUGCUAGUGAAACUAGAUUUUCUACCAAUGAAGUGGAAGCGCUGUAUGAGCUUUUCAAGAAGCUGAGUAGUUCGAUUAUUGAUGAUGGAUCGAUUCACAAGGAGGAGCUUCAGCUGGCACUUCUCAGAAGUCCAUAUGGCGAGAACCUCUUUCUGGAUCGGGUAAACGCAAUAAAUCAAGUUUUUGAUCUUUUUGAUGAAAGAAAAAAUGGAGUGAUUGAAUUUGAUGAAUUUGUCCAUGCUCUUAGCAUUUUCCAUCCCCAUGCACCUACUGAGGAGAAGAUUGACUUUGCGUUUAAACUCUAUGAUUUGAGGCAAACGGGGUUCAUUGAACGUGAAGAAGUUAAGCAAAUGCUUAUAGCAAUCUUAAUGGAAUCUGACACGAGGUUAUCCGAUGAACUUCUCGAAGCAAUUCUCGACCAGACAUUUGCUGAUGCUGAUGCUGAUAAGGAUGGAAGAAUCAGCAAGGAAGAGUGGAAGGCUUUUGUAAGCAAACAUCCAUCUCUUUUGAAGAACAUGACCCUUCCUUAUUUGAAAGAUGUAACGACGAUAUUUUCCAGUUUUGUUUUCAACACUGAGGUUGAAGAUUAAAAAUUUCACAGCCACUUUUGCAUUGAACUGAAAUCACUGGAUCUUACUUCAUUAGAACUAAGGAAGCAUCGAUGCGAAGAAUGUGGACGAUGCUGAAGGUAAUAGUCAGAGAAAGUCCAUUCCGGAAAGGUAAGUUUUCCUUCUGGUAGAUGAUCUGUUGAUGUCAUGAGUAGGAUAAAUUUACUGGUUGUUUAUGAACGGCUGUUUUUUUGGUGUCUUUGAUGCGAUGGGAUGAGUUGAGGCAAACGAACCAUCUCGCCACCGGUUGACUUUCUGGCCUCUGAAUUAUAGAAGAAACUUGGUUUUCAAAGAUACAAGAUACAAAAGACGCAUUUUAAAACCCUUUAGGGAAAGCUCGGAAGGGGAGGGAAACAAAGAACAAAGCAUUGCCUAUAAAGAUGUGAAAAUCUUUCACCAGAGGACGCAUUUUAAAACCUUGAGGGAAGGCUCGGAAGAGAAAGCUUGGAAGGGAAAACCCAGAGAGGAUAAUGUCUACUAGGGAUAGACUUGAGUUGUUACAACAAAUUGUAUCAAAGAAAAUAUCGGGCGGUGUGCCAACGAGGACGUUGGUCCAAAAUGAGAAUGGAUUGUGAGAUCUUACGUCAGUUGAGAAGAGGAACAAAACAUUGCUUAUAAGGGUGUGAAAAUCUUUCACUAGUAGAUGCGCUUCAAAACCUCAAAGGAAAGCUCGAAAAAAAAAACCCAAAGAGAACAAUAUCUACUGUGAGCUUGAGUAGUAACAGAACCAAAAGGAAAAAGAGAAAA